GAUGAACGCUGGCGGCGUGCCUAAUACAUGCAAGUCGAGCGAACAGACGAGGAGCUUGCUCCUCUGACGUUAGCGGCGGACGGGUGAGUGACGAGUGGAACACGUACCUAUAGGCCUGGGAUAACUUCGGAAAACCGGAGCUAAUGCCGGAUAAUCUAUUGAACCGCAGGGUUCAAUAGUGAAAGGCGGUUUUGCUGUCACUUAUAGAUGAUUACGCGCCGCAGUAGCUAGUUGGUAAGGUAACGGCUUACCAAGGCGACGAUGCGUAGCCGACCUGAGAGGGUGAUCGGCCACACUGGAACUGAGACACGGUCCAGACCCCGACGGGAGGCAGCAGUAGGGAAUCUUCCGCAAUGGGCGAAAGCCUGACGGAGCAGCGCCGCGUGAGUGAUGAAGGUCUUCGGAUCGUAAAACUCUGUUACUAGGGAAGAACAAAUGUGUAAGUAACUAUGCACGUCUUGACGGUACCUAAUCAGAAAGCCACGGCUAACUACGUG
rnacentral:rRNA from 1 species